ACGAACGCUGGCGGCGUGCCUAAUACAUGCAAGUAGAACGCUGAAGAGAGGGGCUUGCUCUUCUUGGAUGAGUUGCGAACGGGUGAGUAACGCGUAGGUAACCUGCCUUGUAGCGGGGGAUAACUAUUGGAAACGAUAGCUAAUACCGCAUAACAAUGGAUGACACAUGUCAUUUAUUUGAAAGGGGCAAUUGCUCCACUACAAGAUGGACCUGCGUUGUAUUAGCUAGUAGGUGAGGUAAUGGCUCACCUAGGCGACGAUACAUAGCCGACCUGAGAGGGUGAUCGGCCACACUGGGACUGAGACACGGCCCAGACUCCUACGGGAGGCAGCAGUAGGGAAUCUUCGGCAAUGGGGGCAACCCUGACCGAGCAACGCCGCGUGAGUGAAGAAGGUUUUCGGAUCGUAAAGCUCUGUUGUAAGUCAAGAACGGGUGUGAGAGUGGAAAGUUCACACUGUGACGGUAGCUUACCAGAAAGGGACGGCUAACUACGUGCCAGCAGCCGCGGUAAUACGUAGGUCCCGAGCGUUGUCCGGAUUUAUUGGGCGUAAAGCGAGCGCAGGCGGUUUGAUAAGUCUGAAGUUAAAGGCUGUGGCUCAACCAUAGUUCGCUUUGGAAACUGUCAAACUUGAGUGCAGAAGGGGAGAGUGGAAUUCCAUGUGUAGCGGUGAAAUGCGUAGAUAUAUGGAGGAACACCGGUGGCGAAAGCGGCUCUCUGGUCUGUAACUGACGCUGAGGCUCGAAAGCGUGGGGAGCGAACAGGAUUAGAUACCCUGGUAGUCCACGCCGUAAACGAUGAGUGCUAGGUGUUGGAUCCUUUCCGGGAUUCAGUGCCGCAGCUAACGCAUUAAGCACUCCGCCUGGGGAGUACGACCGCAAGGUUGAAACUCAAAGGAAUUGACGGGGGCCCGCACAAGCGGUGGAGCAUGUGGUUUAAUUCGAAGCAACGCGAAGAACCUUACCAGGUCUUGACAUCCCGAUGCUAUUUCUAGAGAUAGAAAGUUACUUCGGUACAUCGGUGACAGGUGGUGCAUGGUUGUCGUCAGCUCGUGUCGUGAGAUGUUGGGUUAAGUCCCGCAACGAGCGCAACCCCUAUUGUUAGUUGCCAUCAUUCAGUUGGGCACUCUAGCGAGACUGCCGGUAAUAAACCGGAGGAAGGUGGGGAUGACGUCAAAUCAUCAUGCCCCUUAUGACCUGGGCUACACACGUGCUACAAUGGUUGGUACAACGAGUUGCGAGUCGGUGACGGCGAGCUAAUCUCUUAAAGCCAAUCUCAGUUCGGAUUGUAGGCUGCAACUCGCCUACAUGGAGUCGGAAUCGCUAGUAAUCGCGGAUCAGCACGCCGCGGUGAAUACGUUCCCGGGCCUUGUACACACCGCCCGUCACACCACGAGAGUUUGUAACACCCGAAGUCGGUGAGGUAACCUUUUGGAGCCAGCCGCCUAAGGUGGGACAGAUGAUUGGGGUG
rnacentral:rRNA from 1 species